rnacentral:rRNA from 1 species
UACGUAGGGUGCAAGCGUUGUCCGGAAUUAUUGGGCGUAAAGAGCUCGUAGGCGGUUUGUCGCGUCGAAUGUGAAAUCCCGGGGCUCAACCCCGGGCCUGCAUUCGAUACGGGCAGACUAGAGUUCGGUAGGGGAGUCUGGAAUUCCUGGUGUAGCGGUGAAAUGACGCAGAUAUCAGGAGGAACACCGGUGGCGAAGGCGGGACUCUGGGCCGAUACUGACGCUGAGGAGCGAAAGCGUGGGGAGCAAACAGG